rnacentral:tRNA from 1 species
GAGGAGUGGCUGAGUGGUCGAAAGCGGCGGUCUUGAAAACCGUUGUACCGCAAGGUACCGUGGGUUCGAAUCCUACCUCCUCCG